rnacentral:rRNA from 1 species
AAAGCACUUUUGUUCGGGAAGAAACUGCUCUGGAUAAUACCUGGAGUANAUGACGGUACCGGAAGAAUAAGCACCGGCUAACUACGUGCCAGCAGCCGCGGUAAUACGUAGGGUGCAAGCGUUAAUCGGAAUUACUGGGCGUAAAGCGUGCGCAGGCGGUUUGUUAAGACAGAUGUGAAAUCCCCGGGCUCAACCUGGGAACUGCAUUUGUGACUGGCAAGCUAGAGUAUGGCAGAGGGGGGUGGAAUUCCGCGUGUAGCAGUGAAAUGCGUAGAUAUGCGGAGGAACACCGAUGGCGAAGGCAGCCCCCUGGGCCAAUACUGACGCUCAUGCACGAAAGCGUGGGGAGCAAA